ensembl:lncRNA
AGGAGGAUGGAGAGAUUUAUGGAUUGUUGUUCUGUUACUGAAAUCAGAUUUCUUGGAAUAUUUGAGGUUGGUAAGAGGAAAUUCAGUGCGUUCUUCAAAUCCAAAGUUAAUGCAAGCAUUCUUGGACAGUUCUUGAAAGGCACACAGCCGAAGAGUUGUUCCACAGAAGACUUACUCGAAAGAGAGGACUGUAACAGUUAAGCAAAGAAGAGCCUAAGAAAUUCUUUACAAUCUUUUUAUUAGACCCGAGUGCUUCUAUAGUACUUCAUUUUUUAAUGCCUGCUUUGAACACUUGCACGUGCAAGGACUUCUGCCACCUCCAUUAUUUUGUGGGAGCAGAUAUCCAGUCCUCUGUGAACAGUGAAAAACAUUUAAAGAAAAAGAUAUAGUUUCCUGAAAUCUUCAAACUACUCUUUGAACUCAGAAGGGUAAAAACAAGCAGACAUCUCUUCCCUUCCUAACAGAGCUACCUCCAUCACCUUCAUACUCUUCUCCUUCUAUGGAGAUAUUCAAGACCUGUCUGGAUGCCUGUCUGUGUGACCUAUUAUAGGGUACCUACUUUAAUAUGAAGGUUCUACUCAAUGAACUCUUGAGGUUCCAUUCAACCCCUGCAAUUCUCUGAUUCUGUUAUUCUGUGAGAGAAUACCUAGAAAUGGUUAUAAAAAUGUUGUCAGAAAAUUUUCAUCCAAAAAGGUUGUUUUAACAGAACUGAUAAAACAACAUAUGUUGUCUCCAAUAAGAGAUGCUUUGAUCUAGAGAAACAAAUACUUCAUUAAUCAUAUUAGAAAAUGUUCUUAGUAAACUGCUCUGAUAUUUCAUUUUGCAAGUUAGUUUUGGCAUGUUUUCUAACUAACACAUAUGUAAUCAUGUAAAAAGUAAUAACAAAAUUGGAAAUAAAGAGCUUGGAAAAAAUUC